UAGCUGUCUCUCUUUCUCUCUCUCUACUGCAUCGCAACUCAUUUCGUUGGCGGCGAUCUAUGAUCUGCGGGUCUCCUUACUCACGGAAAUCCUCCAAGAAACAGCGCGAGAUUCUUGGAAGCGUAUUGGGCAUUCGCCUUUCCUGCUGAGAGGAUUCUUGUGGGCGUAUUGAUGAUAUUGCUGCAAUGUACGCGAGGAGGUUAAAGACUAGACUUCAGAGAUGGGGGUUGGUUUUCUAUCAUCGCUGCAAUAAUGAGGUUGGUGUUCGACGCCAAGAUGAUCUUUUCCGCAGCUAUGUAUUGACCCCGGAAGCUUCGGAGAGUGAAUUCGCUCCUUCGCUCUCUGCUCUGGUUGGGAAAUGCCCGUUCAGCUCAAGUAGUUCCGAGCAGCUUUAUUUGUCGUCCCACAGUGCCAAUUUGGAUUUCUCCCGGCGAAAUUUUAGGUCUUUUAGAUGUCCGAAUGGUGCGUCUGGCGUGGGCUUUUCGAGCGUGGCGAAGAGUGCCAAGAAUGAUGAGAAUGGCAAAGAUAAGGGUUCAUGUGGAGGUCACGAGAAAGUGUCCAAUCUCAGGGCGUCUUGGAUCGACUUGUAUUUGCCUAGAAAGGCGAGGCCUUAUGCUCACCUUGCUCGCUUGGAUAAGCCUAUUGGGACUUGGCUGCUUGCUUGGCCUUGUAUGUGGUCAAUCACGCUGGCAACAAACCCAGGAAGCCUUCCUGAUCUUAAGAUGUUGAUGCUUUUUGGUUCUGGAGCUUUGCUGUUGAGAGGUGCUGGAUGCACUAUCAAUGACCUCCUCGAUAGGGACAUUGAUGUGAUGGUGGAACGAACAAAAUCCCGACCAAUCGCAAGUGGUCUUUUGACGCCAUUUCAAGGGCUUUGUUUCCUUGGGUUUCAAUUGCUUUUAGGUCUUGGAAUUCUUCUCCAGUUGAAUAAUUACAGCCGUAUUCUGGGAGCUUCUUCUUUGUUGCUUGUCUUUUCCUAUCCCUUGAUGAAAAGGUUCACAUUUUGGCCGCAGGCCUAUCUAGGUUUGACUUUCAAUUGGGGAGCUUUACUCGGAUGGGCUGCUGUUAAAGGAAGUUUGGAUCCUUACAUCGUGCUUCCUCUAUAUUUUUCUGGAGUUUUUUGGACUCUUGUGUAUGACACUAUAUAUGCACACCAGGAUAAAGAAGACGAUGUUAAAGUGGGUGUAAGAUCAACGGCAUUGAGAUUCGGAGAUUUGUCGAAGGAAUGGAUUUCUGGCUUUGGAAUCGCUUGCAUUAGCAGUCUUGCACUCUCUGGAUAUAAUGCUGAUAUUGGAUGGCCAUACUAUGCAUUCCUUAUUGCUGCUUCUGGACAUAUAGCGUGGCAGAUAUCAACAGUUGAUCUAUCCUGCCGUGCCGAUUGUAACCGAAAAUUUGUGUCCAACAAGUGGUUUGGGGCCCUUGUAUUUGGAGGAAUUUUGUUUGGAAAGCUUGCAACGUAGAGUCUUAGAAAGAAGCAGAGGAAGCAAAUCGAAGGACAAGCCCCUGCUCCUUGCAAGCAAACUCUUUGGCCUUCAUCUCGUGACAACUCACUUUCGGAAACUCCUGGUCUCAAAACUUCUCUAGUGUAACUUUGUCGUUGAAACGUUGAUCGUCACCAUUCAUUCAAGCAACAGCAUGGUCGAUGGUGAACAAUCAGAUUUCCUAAGCAGCUAUUCCCCUCGGACAAUAAGGAUUGCAUUAGAGUGAUGGAUGAUACACUUUUCUCGGCGGUGACAGCUACACUUGAUUAAAUUCAUUUUGUUAGUCGAAAUGAACAUUGACUCGGAAUAUAAUUAUAAUGGGGUUUGUUGGGGGCAUUGCUCAUGAUACUCGUAUCUUCUAUAAAGCUCUUUGGAGACAUGAGAUACAAUAUGUGUGUGAAUUAAACUUACACCAGUGUUAGUAAAUAUUAUUUAGUAGAUGGUGAUAUCCAAA